CUGGUGUUUUGUGGUGAGCCCAACAUAAGGGUUUUUUUUCUGCUAAUAAAUAUUAGCUCGCUGAAUGAAAACAAGGCAAACAUAAGAACGCCUCUACUUCAAGUGAUUAGAGCAAUCAGGCAUGUCCUGAAACCUCCAGACUGCAGCAUAGGAUCUACAAAAAGCCCAUCCAAUGGAAAUGAAGAUGUUAGCCUAAUCUGUGAUAUUACCCACAUCACACUUGGUGCUUCUUCACAGGAGCAUUCCUCAUCAUAACAAACCAAAGCUCCAAGAGGGCCUUCCUUAACUGACUGAUGGACACUGCCCAGUUUCACUAUGGGUAGAUGUGGGACAUAUAUCCUCCAGCCCUGAGGAGGAGGUGACGUUCAAGUGUGGAUGAGGACUGCAAUCCUUUAGAAGUUUCUAUUGGGAAAUGACGGGACAGCCACGAUGUAGCUGCUUUGUGGCAGCAGCAAGAUGCUGCUGGAUACUCAGGCUUUGGCUGGAAAUGCUCCUCUCCUGCUGGGACCACAGAACACCGCCUGAAUCAGCAAACAGAGUGAGCUACGCCAGUGCUCUCACGAAGAUUCCUUCAGAUGAUACAUGCUUAUUUUUCUCAGAACAGAAAUGAGAAGAACUUACUUUUAUAUCAGACCUCCCUUAGACUGUUGGAGUGGGUGUUUUUUUU